GGAUAAUUGAGCAACAGAGUCAGGGAUGACUAACCCGCACCAGAGGAGAGAUAGAGAGAGCAGGAGGAGGAGAGGAAUAAAAUAGAGAUAUAUGAGUGUGUUAAAGGUAAGCGGAAGUUAAUGUUACAUAUUAGCAGUGUUUUACUGAAGAGCUCAAUGGGUACGGGGACAAAAGUAGGAGAAGAAACAGGCUGGUAUUUUUUAAAGUGACAAACAAAGGACAAUACAUCUAUAUCACCAGAAAACCAGCACCAGCGAAGGUCAUAGGAGGUCCAUCGGGACCAAGACAGUUUUCGCUGCACCUUCCCAUGAAAUACACACCCCCCCUGCACCAAGAGAGAACAUUCCUUCCCUCAAACUAUCUGCAAACCUGGAGAGAACAGUUUAGAAGACAACCACACCUGAGAGAGAGCAAAUGACAGGAACACUAGACAAGCAGAAGAA
rnacentral:lncRNA from 1 species